AGGUUUCAAAAGAGCUGCUUUGAAUAGCUGAUGACUCGGAAUAACACCUGUGAAACGCAAAUCAUCUAAUACAGGCUAAUACAGGGAUGCAUCCUAUAUUUAUUCAACUUGUUAUGAAGCACAGCUCCUACUGAAGGCAGCGAAUGGGGCUUGGGAGAAUGCCCAGGCUCAGCAUUUGUGUAUCGGAAUAUUUCAAAACCUGCAGAUCAGAGCUGACUAGACACAGCAGAGGAUAACUGCACCCCAGAA
rnacentral:lncRNA from 1 species